rfam:Pteropus alecto contig46622, whole genome shotgun sequence.
GUCUACAGCCAUGCCACCCUGAACAAGCCCAAUCCUAUCUGAUCUUGGAAGCUAAGCAGGGUUGGGCCUGGUUAGUACUUGGAUGGGAGACCACCUAGGAAGUCCGGGUGCUGUAGGCA